rnacentral:rRNA from 1 species
CCAAAGGAAAUGGUUGCUUAGUGGCGGACUGGUGAGUAACGCGUGAGGAACCUGCCUCAAAGAGGGGGACAACAGUUGGAAACGACUGCUAAUACCGCAUGAUGCAUAGGGGUCGCAUGAUUCUUAUGCCAAAGAUUUAUCGCUGAAAGAUGGCCUCGCGUCUGAUUAGCUAGUUGGUGCGGUAACGGCCCACCAAGGCGACGAUCAGUAGCCGGACUGAGAGGUUGAACGGCCACAUUGGGACUGAGAUACGGCCAAAACUCC